AUUUAUCAAAGAAAGAAGGGCUUUGGAAGCAGCAAGCCAGCAAGACUGAUGGCUUUCAUUUUAUGUAGAUGAUGAUGAACAGGAGUAUCAGGAAAAAAUCACGAUGCAACUUGCUGAACAAGAAUAAGAUAUAGAGAGUAAAUGAGGAGAGUAGAAGGCGAAGGCAAGCUAUACUUGAAAAAUACAAGAAUCAACAGCAAAAGAUGCAACCUAAAAUCCACUCA